GGCGAGGUAGCUCAGUCGGUUAGAGCACGCGCUUCAUAAGCGCGGUGUCGCCGGUUCAAGUCCGGCCCUCGCUACCA
rnacentral:tRNA from 1 species